rnacentral:rRNA from 1 species
UACAGAGGGUGCAAGCGUUAAUCGGAAUUACUGGGCGUAAAGCGAGCGUAGUCGGUUAUUUAAGUCGGAUGUGAAAUCCCCGGGCUCAACCUGGGAAUUGCAUUCGAUACUGGAUAGCUAGAGUUCGGCAGAGGGAAGCGGAAUUUCUGGUGUAGCGGUGAAAUGCGUAGAUAUCAGAAGGAACAUCAGUGGCGAGAGCGGCUUCCUGGACCAGAACUGACGAUCAGGCUCGAAAGCGUGGGGAGCAAACAGG